CCUGUAAUGCCGUGCUGUUCGAUGAAGCGGCGUUGACCUCGCCGCUGCCCGGUGCCUAUCCGGAUUAUAGGC
rnacentral:tRNA from 1 species